rnacentral:rRNA from 1 species
UACGUAGGGUGCGAGCGUUAAUCGGAAUUACUGGGCGUAAAGCGUGCGCAGGCGGUUUUGUAAGCCAGAUGUGAAAUCCCCGGGCUUAACCUGGGAAUGGCAUUUGGGACUGCAAGGCUUGAGUGUGGCAGAGGAGACGUGGAAUUCCUGGUGUAGCGGUGAAAUGCGCAGAUAUCAGGAGGAACACCGGUGGCGAAGGCGGCAUCCUGGACCGACACUGACGCUGAGGUGCGAAAGCGUGGGGAGCAAACAGG